rnacentral:rRNA from 1 species
UACGUAGGGGGCAAGCGUUGUCCGGAAUUAUUGGGCGUAAAGGGCGUGUAGGCGGCCAGAUAAGUCCGCUGUGAAAUCUCGAGGCUCAACUUCGAGCUGUCGGUGGAAACUAUCUGGCUAGAGUCCGGAAGAGGAGAAUGGAAUUCCUGGUGUAGCGGUGAAAUGCGCAGAUAUCAGGAAGAACACCCGUGGCGAAGGCGGUUCUCUGGGACGGUACUGACGCUGAGACGCGAAAGCGUGGGGAGCGAACAGG